GCGGGGGGAGCCGCUGGGGGAGCGGCCCGUGGGCGCCCGGGGGGCACUGUCUCCGCAUCUCCUUUCUGGUGGGAAGAACUCUUGACCAGGACCCAGGGUUGCCGGUGGUGGUGGUGAUUUUCUAGUUUCCCAUAGCCAGGGUGAGUGAGACCUCACCGUCCGCCCAGGAAGGCAUGGUGCCCGCAGAUGGGCCUUUUCCCCGGUGCAGUGCUGGCCGGGCAGGAGGGCAGCCAGGGCCAAGGCAGCCGGAGUGGGACUGACCACGUUCCGGGGAGUCUCAUCUCAGGCCGAAAGGGCCCUGCAGAACUGGAACUGGGCUUUGAUGACCGCUUUGGAUUUUUUAGGCAAGCAUCUUGGGUGCAUUGCACGUGUUGCUGUCCACUCUGUUGUGCCACGGGAUCCAGAGGCGCCUUGUGAGAGUUAAAAUGUCUGUUCCAGAACUUCCAGGGCGCUGCCAGGCUGUGUAAAUUACUUCGAAUACGUGGCGGUGGAUGGUUGAUCUGAACGUUCUGUCUUUCACAUCAAAAUCAUCACUUUUAAAGCG